rnacentral:rRNA from 1 species
AUACGUAGGUGGCAAGCGUUGUCCGGAUUUACUGGGCGUAAAGGGCGUGUAGGCGGAGAUGCAAGUCAGGAGUGAAAUCUAGGGGCUCAACCCCUAAACUGCUUUUGAAACUGUAUCCCUUGAGUAUCGGAGAGGCAGGCGGAAUUCCUAGUGUAACGGGGAAAAGCGUAGAUAUUAGGAGGAACACCAGUGGCGAAGGCGGCCUGCUGGACGACAACUGACGCUGAGGCGCGAAAGCGUGGGGAGCAAACAGGAUUAGAUACCCUGGUAGUCCACGCUGUAAACGAUGAAUACUAGGUGUGGGGGGACUGACCCCCUCCGUGCCGCAGUUAACACAAUAAGUAUUCCACCUGGGGAGUACGAUCGCAAGAUUGGAACUCAAAUGAAUUGACGGGG